rnacentral:tRNA from 1 species
GCCCUCGUGGCGUAAUGGAUAACGCGUUGGACUUCUAAUCCAAAGAUUGCAGGUUCGAGUCCUGCCGGGGGUG